rnacentral:rRNA from 1 species
GAUUGACCUCGGAUCAGGCAGGGAUACCCGCUGAACUUAAGCAUAUCAAUAAGCGGAGGAAAAGAAACCAACAGGGAUUGCCUCAGUAACGGCGAGUGAAGCGGCAACAGCUCAAAUUUGAAAUCUGGUCCUUUCAGGGCCCGAGUUGUAAUUUGUAGAGGAUGUUUCGGGUGCGGCGCGGGUCUAAGUCCUUUGGAACAGGGCGUCAUAGAGGGUGAGAAUCCCGUAUGUGACCCGUGAUCAAGCCCAUGUGAAACCCCUUCGACGAGUCGAGUUGUUUGGGAAUGCAGCUCAAAAUGGGUGGUAAAUUUCAUCUAAAGCUAAAUACCGGCCAGAGACCGAUAGCGCACAAGUAGAGUGAUCGAAAGAUGAAAAGCACUUUGGAAAGAGAGUCAAAAAGUACGUGAAAUUGUUGAAAGGGAAGCGCUUGCAACCAGACCUGUCCGCAGGCGAUCAACUCCCGUUCUCGGGGGUGCACUCGUCUGUGAUCAGGCCAGCAUCGGUUCGGGCGGUCGGAUAAAGGCCUUGGGAAUGUAGCUCCUUCCGGGGAGUGUUAUAGCCCUCGGUGCAAUGCGGCCAGCCCGGACCGAGGACCGCGCCUUCGGGCUAGGAUGCUGGCGUAAUGGUUGUAAGCGACCCGUCUUGAAACACGGACCAAGGAGUCUAACAUCUAUGCAAGUGUUUGGGUGUCAAACCCAUGCGCGUAAUGAAAGUGAACGGAGGUGAGAACCCUUAAGGGCGCAUCAUCGACCGAUCCAGAUGUCUUCGGAUGGAUUUGAGUAUGAGCAUAGCUGUUGGGACCCGAAAGAUGGUGAACUAUGCCUGAAUAGGGUGAAGCCAGGGGAAACCCUGGUGGAGGCUCGCAGCGGUUCUGACGUGCAAAUCGAUCGUCAAAUUUGGGUAUAGGGGCGAAAGACUAAUCGAACCAUCUAGUAGCUGGUUCCUGCC